rnacentral:rRNA from 1 species
UACAGGGGGGGCAAGCGUUGUUCGGAAUUACUGGGCGUAAAGGGCUCGUAGGCGGCCAGCUAAGUCCGACGUGAAAUCCCCAGGCUUAACCUGGGAACUGCGUCGGAUACUGGCGGGCUUGAAUCCGGGAGAGGGAUGCGGAAUUCCAGGUGUAGCGGUGAAAUGCGUAGAUAUCUGGAGGAACACCGGUGGCGAAGGCGGCAUCCUGGACCGGCAUUGACGCUGAAUAGCGAAAGCCAGGGGAGCAAACGGG